ensembl:lncRNA
GCCUUGUUCUUGGCCCUCCGAGGGGCAAUCUCGAGCCGUCCUCGCCCUGCCUCCUGGCUCGGUGAGGUCGCGCUCCUGACGGCUCAUCCGACACGUUCUGUCAUGUGCCGCCGGCGAGAUGAGCAAAAACAUCCCCUUGCCUCGAAAGCCUGCCUCGCUCGGCCCCGAAGGCGACCCUUCCUGUUUACAGGCGGAGGCCCAGCCUCCCGGGAGCGCACUCGCGGGCACCUUUGUUUCAGAGAGACCCGUUUUCGUUUCCCUUACCUGGUUUUUGCUUUUUACCUCUUCCCGCGGGCGUGGGUUUCCCGAGCCGGCCGGGCCGGAGGAGGACGCCCCAGGGGCCGGCCUGGGAGCCCAGGGACAGAACCGACGGUUAGCUCCGGGGCAGACCAAGAGGCAGUGUCUUGCGUCCUGAGGAAAGACUCUCCUAGAUAAGGCUUGGCGAGAUAGCCUGUCAGAUGCGCCAUCAGUUCUGUCAGUUCAGUUGCUCAGUCGUGUCCGACUCUUUGCGACCCCAUGGACUGCAGCAGGCCAGGCCUCCCUGUCCAUCAUCGGAGCUUGCUCAGACUCAUGUCCAUCCAAUCGGUGAUGCCAUCCAACCAUCUGGUACCACAGUCUGCCUAGUGCAGAGUCUGGGGACCUCUCAUCCCGCUCUGUGCAGUGAGCAGUCUGAGAUCCAGAAAUGUCAAUCCACCUUCCUGCAGCCGCCCCGCGCUUGAGGAGCAGAGCACAGACUAGAAUCCAGGUUGUCUGGCUCCCAAGCUAGUGCCAUAGUAACACCCCAUCUUCUGGAGCUUUUGCUGUACUGUGAGAUGACUCAGAAAGUCCCUUUUACAUUUAUUUUCACACUGGAGGGAGAGUCUCCAUUUACCAAGUUAGGUGUACCGUAAAGUGUAUCCCAGGCUUAUCGUCAUGUGAAUCAGCGUGCCACAAAAUAUUCCUCUGAGCUUACUUAAGUCCUGCUGCUGCUGCUAAGUCGCUUCAGUCGUGUCCGACUCAGUGCGACCCCAUAGACGGCAGCCCACCAGGCUCCCCCGUCCCUGGGAUUCUCCAGGAAGCUGGGAAUGGAUCCAGUCUCACGAAAGUGGGGAAAGAACUGCCAAAGAAAGGAAGGCUGAGCCCAGGUACU